rnacentral:lncRNA from 10 species
GUGGUACUUCUAAACUUCGUGGAAGAGCCCUGUUUCAUAAAUCUGAGACAGCCUUGGUCUGAGGGAGCAAAGACAGAGAAUUCACGUGCUGCCCAGGCAUAGCCACAUAGCAGGUGGACAUCCCUGGACACUUUUCUGACAAAGCACGCAAUGUGGGGACAACACAGAAAUCCAAGAAAGGCAAGACCAAUUUCAAGGCACUAAAUAAGUGGACUGAGACAAGAAGUACACAGAUACUUCCCAGAACAAAAGAUUUUAUGUCAUAGACCCUCAUUGGAUUUUCCUGGAAGUACGGAGAGUUACAUCCAGAGAACUCUGAACAUUUUGGAAGGACCCCAAUCCUGCAAACAAUGAAUGGCAAUAAAUCCUGGGACUGGAAAGGGGCUUCUCAACCCCAAGGCAACCAUAAAGUCCUAUACAAAGAAAGAUACAGCAGUGUGAAAGAGGCCUGGAUGAAAAAACAAAGACAGAGCCAGUGAGCCAGAGCCAGAGCCAGAGGACAAGAGAGAAAGGCAGAGAAUGGAAAACACAGACAGAGAAGGCAGAUGCGUAGAGAGACAGAGAUUCAAUGAGAAAAUAAGGAAGGAAGAAAGAAAGAAAACAAAAACGUUCUCAGCACUACAACUUCUGCCUUGUUCUGUUCCAGAACAGUAUGAGCUCAGUACUUUUUCAGACUCUCAAUUUUCUACAACUAAUAAUUUGCUCUUUCAGUUAGUGGCAAAGGCUUAACGACAAAGGUUCAUCUUUAAUAUUAGAGAGGCACUUUUAAAAUUUAUGAUGCUAAGCCUUUUGUUCUGGAUAUGGUAUGUUGCACAGGUCUAGGGACUGGGAUUUCAGAUGUCUAUUCCGUACCCUUAUUCUUUUAUUUAUUAAAUCUUUUAGUGUGUA